GGUGAGUAUACUUAGGAAUCUACCUAGUAGUGGGGGAUAGCACGGGGAAACUCGUAUUAAUACCGCAUACGUCCUACGGGAGAAAGGGGGCAACUUGUUGCUCUCGCUAUUAGAUGAGCCUAAGUCGGAUUAGCUAGAUGGUGGGGUAAAGGCCUACCAUGGCGACGAUCUGUAGCUGGUCUGAGAGGAUGAUCAGCCACACCGGGACUGAGACACGGCCCGGACUCCUACGGGAGGCAGCAGUGGGGAAUAUUGGACAAUGGGGGAAACCCUGAUCCAGCCAUGCCGCGUGUGUGAAGAAGGCCUUUUGGUUGUAAAGCACUUUAAGCAGUGAAGAAGACUCUUCGGUUAAUACCCGGAGACGAUGACAUUAGCUGCAGAAUAAGCACCGGCUAACUCUGUGCCAGCAGCCGCGGUAAUACAGAGGGUGCAAGCGUUAAUCGGAAUUACUGGGCGUAAAGCGAGCGUAGGUGGCUUGAUAAGUCAGAUGUGAAAUCCCCGGGGCUUAACCUGGGGAACUGCAUCUGAAACUGUC
rnacentral:rRNA from 1 species